AUUGCGCAAGCCGCAAGAAGUGGAAGAAAUUCUUUGUUUCAAAAUUUUGCAUAAACAUCAAAAGUGUCAGUUAUGUAAAUUUUUAGCGGUUCGUGCGAUCGUAAUGAGGUUGGGUUAUGUUUUAAAUUUACGAUUUGUAAAUUAUCAAAAGCUAACGGGGAAAACUUUUACGAAAGUGCUGAUGUUUCGUGUUUUUUAAUAAUUAAUAACGUUUUGGAUAUUUUUGAUUGACAUAAAUUACGUGUAAUUAUUUGAGUUAUAAUCUUACGAACGGGAAUAUUCGGCAACAUCAACUUAAUAGACAUUUAUAUAUGAAUUAUACAUUGGCAUCAUUUCAGAUUUUCACAGGGAAAGUUGUAACCGAGGCCUCAGUGUCUGAAAUUUGAAACUGUAUUCAUUUCGACUUACUCUACGGUUCUUAGUGCCAACGGACAGCCAAAUCUACACCAUCAAUGAGUUACGUUAAGGGAAUAGAACCCUAAGUUUCAGUUCCUGAAGAUUUUGAUUAGAAAGAAAUACGCAUGUGGGAGCCUUUACGGAGAUUCCUGUUCAAUUCUGGGUUGGUGAUUAUUUGAGUAUGAAUCGCGAAUCAAAGCAAACCGACUUCAUGCGAUAGGAAUACUCGAGAUCCGUGAUUAUGAAGAGGAAUAAUAAACCAAUGUUCCGCUGUGUUGAUAUUAA